GCAGUUUUGUGUCUGUCGUUGGUUGUGUCGGACGUGUUUCUCGCGGCUGUUAUCGUUUUAUUUUGAAUUUUGAAUUCUGUAAAUCGCGUUCAUUUCGAUCGUCCAUCGCCUGCAUUUAGUUGUUGCUAAUGUGUUUAGUAUUUAUUAGUAGAUAAUCGGAUGUUGAAUAUACAAAAUCAUUAAUUUUCUUUGCGUUCUUUGGGCAUAAAGCAAGAUGGCCGCGUGCUAUUAACUUGUUUUGUAUUGUGAUAUUAUUUCAUUUAAUUGCGGUCUAUCUGUGAUUGUCAUUGUGUGUGGUAUUUUGCCUCGGAAAUAUGGACAAUGUUUUGCGUAGACGCCAAGAAAGCAAGCAAUUGCCUUCGAGUUCCGAUGCCCGAAUCACGAGCUAAAUUAGAAUGCGAAUUUGAUUCGCUUCGUCGGUCGACUCCCGAUUUAAAAUAAAAUAAAUAUUGACACCCCUUCCCG